UUUCUUCAUUGCAGGUUGCUCUGCACAGAGGAGGUAAAAUGAUUUCCUGCUGGCUCUGUAAGUCGGGAUCUCAGCAGCCUGAGGCAGGGAGUAAGUUAAUGCUGUGAUGUUCUGAUUCUGAUGCAACGCAAAGGGCAGCAGACUGCUGGGUAAUGAUGAAGGCUUCUUACGCAACAUCCUAGAUGUUACACCCCUGUGGAUGCAGAAGUAAUCACGCAAGCACAGAUCCCAAAGGUUUUUUAAAAAGGUGUCUGCAGGAAAACACAUCUUGAAUACAUCAGGAGCAUCCCAACACUCAGACUGUGCUCUUCACAUCUACAGUAAGAUUCACCUGUCUCACAUGCUGAGGUUAAUUGAAGAUUUGAACAUAAUUACUGCAUCCCAAGUGCUCCACAGCUGGUGUCCAGAAGUUGAAGGACAAAGCUAAUGGAAACCGUUCUGGCUGAAGAUAUCGGACUACCCAUCUUAUCCACAGCACCCUAGCUGCUAGAACACAGACCAUCAAUGUGUACAAGAGCAUGAGAGUCUCCAUCCUUGCAUGGAAU